rnacentral:rRNA from 1 species
CCUACGGGCGGCAGCAGUGGGGGAUAUUGCACAAUGGGGGGAACCCUGAUGCAGCGACGCCGCGUGGGUGAAGGAGUAUUUCGGUAUGUAAAGCCCUAUCGGCAGGGAAGAAAUUGGACGGUACCUGACUAAGAAGCCCCGGCUAACUACGUGCCAGCAGCCGCGGUAAUACGUAGGGGGCAAGCGUUAUCCGGAUUCACUGGGUGUAAAGGGAGCGUAGACGGCCAUGCAAGCCAGGGGUGAAAGCCCGGGGCCCAACCCCGGGACUGCCCUUGGAACUGCAUGGCUGGAGUGCGGGAGGGGCAGGUGGAAUUCCUGGUGUAGCGGUGAAAUGCGUAGAUAUCAGGAGGAACACCGGCGGCGAAGGCGGCCUGCUGGACCGCGACUGACGUUGAGGCUCGAAAGCGUGGGGAGCGAACAGGAUUAGAUACCCUAGUAGUC